CAAGAGCGUAUAUUAAAGUUGCUGCGGUUAAAAAGCUCGUAGUUGGAUUUCAGUCUAGGAAGGUUAACUCGCCGAAAGGUUGUACGUUGAUUUUCCUCAGACUUCGUCAGAAGCUCGUGCUGCACUUAACUGUGUGGUACGAUGUUCUGACCUUUUACCUUGAGGAAAGUAGAGUGUUUCAGGCAGGCUACCCAGCUUGAAUACAUUAGCAUGGAAUAAUGAAAUGGAUCUCGGUUCGAUUUCGUUGGUUCUAGAGCUGAGGUGAUGAUCAAUAGGAACAGGCGAAGGUAUUCGUACUUGAGAGUGAGGAGUGAAUUCCGAUGAUCUCUUAAAGACGAUCCGAGGCGAAAGCAUUUGUCAAGGAUGUUUUCAUUGA
rnacentral:rRNA from 1 species